rnacentral:rRNA from 1 species
GAUGAACGCUGGCGGCGUGCCUAAUACAUGCAAGUCGAGCGAACAGACGAGGAGCUUGCUCCUCUGACGUUAGCGGCGGACGGGUGAGUAACACGUGGAUAACCUACCUAUAAGACUGGGAUAACUUCGGGAAACCGGAGCUAAUACCGGAUAAUAUAUUGAACCGCAUGGUUCAAUGGUGAAAGACGGUUUUGCUGUCACUUAUAGAUGGAUCCGCGCCGCAUUAGCUAGUUGGUAAGGUAACGGCUUACCAAGGCAACGAUGCGUAGCCGACCUGAGAGCCGCCACUCCUGGAGCAGACGCCCAGCCCACACACCCGGGGGAGGCAGACGUAGAGGAUCGCGCGCCUUGGCCAGGGCGGCGACCGUGAACGUCUGCGUGGGGUAUGAGGGUCUUCGGUUUGUCAAACUCUUUUAUAAGGAAACACAAAUUACUAAACCCCCUAUGUCCUUCUCAACCAUCACUAAUCACAAACCACCCGCUAACUACGUCCACGCAGCCGCGGUAAUCGUCGGCAGAGCACCCGUCCGACC